rnacentral:rRNA from 1 species
CAACGGCUUGACGAUAAGAAAGCUGUCUCUCUUUACUAAACUCUGAAGUAAGCUGGAUAGUGAAGAGACUGUCUUAGCAAAGCGGGACGAGAAGACCCCGUUGAGCUUUAGUAAAAAUUGUUUAUUAAAAACUUGAUUACUUGAGUUGGGGCAACUAUCUUUCUUUUUUAAAACAAAGAUAAAAAUGUUUUGAGUUGAUUCUUUUAUGACCCUUAAUUUUAGGAAUAGUAGAAAAAGUUACCAUGGGGAUAACAGCGUAAUUUUUUUUGAGAGUUCUUAUUGACAAAAAAGUUUGCGACCUCGAUGUUG